GGCGAAGGGGUAGGGGUCUCCAGUACCUCGUUGACUGGGAGGGAUAUGGUCCGGAGGAGAGGACCUGGAUCCCGGCCAGGAGGAUAGUGGACCGGACCCUCAUCACUGACUUCCACCGACUACAUCCUGAUCAGCCUGCAAUCCGUAGGGGCCGUCCCAGAGGGGUCCCUAGCCGUCCUGCCCGACCAGCUUCCUGUCCUGUGCCUGACCCUGCUCCUGUCUCAGUACCUGUCCUGUCUCCCGACCGUGACCCUCCGGCUCCUUCUGAGGAUGAGGAUGUUCACUCUGACCGCUCGGAGGAGUUCUGACCCGCCGCCUGCUCCCCUCCACCCUCCCGGCAUGGUGUUGUUCUUGGGACUUCUGGGGCCGUCCCUUAGGGGGGGGGUCCUGUCAUGAGCACUCUCUCCCCUGGGUAACAACCUUAAUUGCAUUCAAUUCUCUGCCACUCUGCUCACUCUCUCCCUACUCUGCCUAACGAGCUCCACCUGGCUCCGCCCUGCUCUGCUCUUGCUACCUGGCCAGCUGCGCUGCAUUUCCCACUCACCUUCCUCACCUUUCCCCACUCUGCUCUAAUUACUCUGCCAGCUGCACUGCAUUUCUCCACUAACCUCUCCCAGUAUAUAUAGCCCUGUUUUUCAGCCAAGCCCUGUCAGAUCGUCUUCAUACCUGGACCAGUAACCUGCCUGUCUGUCUACCCUCUGACUCCUACCUGUGAUUCCGAUCCGUUCUCGACUGCCUCCCUGUUCUACUGCCCCGGCUAUCCCGACCUGCCUUCUGGAUCUCGACUACUCUCCAAUCUUCAGCCCCUCCGGCCUCCGACCACCAGACGAGCGAGCCCAGACGCUUCACCACCCUCAGCCCGAUACGCCGCUCGAUCACUGGGGGACACACACACUAGGCACUUUGAACUGGAAACCCCCGGACACUUGGUGACCCCCGGAGCCCAGGUAACCCACAGGACCCUGAAAGACCCCUGAGCCCCAAGCACCCCUGGAACCCCUGACACCCCUGGCACUCCUAGCACCCCUGGAACCGGCACCUCCGAAGACCUCAAGAUCCACUCACUCCUCUUCCCCCCCUGAACCCUUAAAUAAACAACUCUGAAUUUGAA